rnacentral:lncRNA from 1 species
UAUGGAGAGAACUUCGUAUGUAAAAUGCAUUAUAAUGUAUGAAAUGCUAUAUAUUGCAUAUUAUGUGUUACAUGUUGCCUAUUAUAUAUGUUGUAUAUUAUAUGUUACAUAUAGAGAGAGAGAAAAAGAAGAGAGGAUGUAGGGCAAUUUCAUUUUCUGAUUCUAGGAAAAUAAUGAAACCCAAACCAUCAGGAACGGUAUCACUUGAGCAGAGCAUAGGUGCAAGUACCAUCCGUGUUAUAUGCAGAAACAUUCACCUUGACCCCAGGGGGGAUCUGGGCUGAGACUAGAUGACUGAAAUCUCUGGGCGAUGGUGAACACAGAAUUGGGGGCAGCAGAUAUGAAGACGCACUGAGCCACAUGCCGGACGCCCCAAGCGCAGAGAGAGCUUGUGAGCUUCUAGCGGUGGAGACUUGACACACUGUGGGAGAGGAAAAUGAAGUUACUGGACCCACUGAAACGGGACUCAUUGAUCCUCUAGCCCAUGGUGGGCAGUGUGCAUCAGCGGGGUCCUUCACAGUUUUAGAUGCUCCUUCUCUUCAAAUUUCGUGCUCAUCAAAGUACAUAUUUUU